UACGUAGGGGGCAAGCGUUGUCCGGAAUUACUGGGCGUAAAGGGCGCGUAGGCGGCAUAUUAAGUUAGAUGUGAAAUCCCCGGGCUUAACCUGGGAGUUGCAUUUAAAACUGAUAAGCUUGAGUGCAGGAGAGGGAAGCGGAAUUCCUAGUGUAGCGGUGAAAUGCGUAGAUAUUAGGAGGAACACCGGUGGCGAAGGCGGCUUUCUGGACUGUAACUGACGCUGAGGCGCGAAAGCGUGGGUAGCAAAC
rnacentral:rRNA from 1 species